rnacentral:rRNA from 1 species
UACGUAGGGUGCAAGCGUUGUCCGGAAUUAUUGGGCGUAAAGAGCUCGUAGGCGGUCUGUCGCGUCUGCUGUGAAAACUCGGGGCUUAACCCCGGGCCUGCAGUGGGUACGGGCAGACUAGAGUGCGGUAGGGGAGACUGGAAUUCCUGGUGUAGCGGUGAAAUGCGCAGAUAUCAGGAGGAACACCAAUGGCGAAGGCAGCUCGCUGGAACGGUACUGACGCUGAGGCGCGAAAGCGUGGGGAGCGAACAGG